AGGACUUAACUUGCAGGGGUUGUUUCUGCAGUUGGUCACUAGAGGAUAGUGAUCACACCUGUACAGUGUCACAAGCCAUGAGGAAGGAGUGGGGUGCUCUUGUGAGUGAAUCUGCCUGGUCAGGAGCUGCCCACCACUGAUGACCAUUUACACCCGUUUGGGGGCUGGAAGAGAAAAAGAACAGGCUGAGAGGU
rnacentral:snoRNA from 1 species